rnacentral:misc_RNA from 1 species
GUAUUAAAGGCUUUUUUGACCAAUAAAGGUCUCAAACAUACAUUCUGAUGACAUGUGUGUGUGAUGGAAAAAUAACAUAGACGCAGACUAUCAAAACAUCUGGGCCUACAAUAAGUUCACAGGUGAGUUUGAAAAGGCGGAGUGCACAUUUGCCCCCUGAGGGACCAGCAACAUCCUAAGGAUUUCGAUAAUGAUCCUUCCGCAGGUUCACCUACGGAAA